rnacentral:lncRNA from 1 species
ACUGGGAGGGACUGGGAGGGGACUGGGAGGGACUGGGAUGGACUGGGAGGGGAUUUGGAAGGGACUGGGAGCACUGGGAGCAGUACUGGGGCCAUACUGGGAUCACUGGGAGGGGCACUGGGAUCACCGGGCCCAUACUGGGAGCACUGGGAGGGCUCUGGGGCCUUACUGGGAACACUGGGAGGGUCCUGGGGGAGCACUGGGUCCUUACCAGUCCAUACUGGGAGCACUGGGAGCGGCACUGGAUCCGUACUGGGAGCACUGGGCCCUUACUGGGAGCGCUGGGCCCAUUCCCCUCACGCCGUUCCCGCCUUUUUUCCUCCUUCCCGCCCUUUUUCUGGCCCCGCCCCCCCUCUGUUGAUUGACACGCGGGGGGCGGAGCCUCUGUGAGGGCACGGGAAAAGCACCGGGAGGGCUCUGGGGCCUUACUGGGAGCACUGGGGAGCACAGAGCUCAAACUGGGAGCACCAGUCCCAUACUGGGAGCACUGGGAGGAUCUCUGGUCCCAAACUGGGAUUUCUGGUUUCAUACUGGGAUCACUGGUCCUGAACUGGUCCCAAACUGGGAUCACUGGUCCCGUACUGGGAUCACCGGUCCCGUACUGGGAUCACCGGUCCCGUACUGGGAUCACUGGUCCCAAACUGGGAUCACUGGUCCCAAACUGGGAUCACUGGUCCCAUACUGGGAUCACUGGUCCCAAACUGGGAUCACUGGUCCCGUACUGGGAUCACCAGUCCCAUACUGGGAUCACCGGUCCCGUACUGGGAUCACCAGUCCUGUACUGGAAUCACUGGUCCCGUACUGGUCCCACAGCUGUGUCCCCUCCCCCGCAGGUGAGCGACGCGCUGGGGGGAGGGGCGGCGGCCGUCUCGUACCAGCGGGGGGCGGGGGCUCUGCUGAGGGCGCUGCUGCUCCUCCCCUUCGCCGCCGCCCUGGGCGGGGCCGCGUUCCUCGCCGCCGGAAACGCCCUGCCCGGGGACCGGCGCCGCGCCCGCCGCGAGGCUCAGGGGCUGCCCCCGGACGGCGACGACGACGACGACCCCGCGGCCAUCGUGGUCCCGCCCGCGGCCGGAGGCCGGACACGGAAAGUGCCGGUGGCUCACGUGCUGGCCUGAGAGUGACCAACUGA